GAUGAACGCUGGCGGCGUGCUUAACACAUGCAAGUCGAACGGAAAGGCUCCUGCUUGCAGGGGUACUCGAGUGGCGAACGGGUGAGUAACACGUGGGUGAUCUGCCCUGCACUUCGGGAUAAGCCUGGGAAACUGGGUCUAAUACCGGAUAGGACGAUGGUUUGGAUGCCAUUGUGGAAAGUUUUUUCGGUGUGGGAUGAGCUCGCGGCCUAUCAGCUUGUUGGUGGGGUAAUGGCCUACCAAGGCGUCGACGGGUAGCCGGCCUGAGAGGGUGUACGGCCACAUUGGGACUGAGAUACGGCCCAGACUCCUACGGGAGGCAGCAGUGGGGAAUAUUGCACAAUGGGCGGAAGCCUGAUGCAGCGACGCCGCGUGGGGGAUGACGGCCUUCGGGUUGUAAACUCCUUUCGCUAGGGACGAAGCGCGAGUGACGGUACCUGGAGAAGAAGCACCGGCUAACUACGUG
rnacentral:rRNA from 1 species